rnacentral:rRNA from 1 species
AACUUAAAGAAUUUGGCGGUAUCCUACUCCGUUCAGAGGAAUCUGUCUCGUUAUCGAUAGUCCGCGUUGGACCUUGCUUAGGGUUAAUUUUGGUUUGUAUACCGCCGUUUAUUGAUUAUCUUUUUAGAGUAUCUUGAAUUUUCUGGUUUCUUUAAUUUGAUUUAUUGCAGGUCAAGGUGCAGCUUUUUCUAAGUGUAAUGAUGGAUUACAGUGGUAUGUGUUGUUUGGAUUGUUUGUUUAAAUAUGGGCAUGAAAUUGGAUUUGGUUGUAAUGUUUUGUAGAUUGUUUUCAUGAUAGUUGGUUCUAGGAUAUGUACACAU